UACGGAGGGUGCGAGCGUUGUCCGGAAUCAUUGGGCGUAAAGGGCGCGUAGGUGGCCCGGUCAGUCCGUGGUGAAAGCGCGGGGCUCAACCCCGCGUCGGCCAUGGAUACUGCUGGGCUGGAGCACUGUAGAGGCAGGCGGAAUUCCGGGUGUAGCGGUGGAAUGCGUAGAGAUCCGGAAGAACACCGGUGGCGAAGGCGGCCUGCUGGGCAGUUGCUGACACUGAGGCACGAAAGCCAGGGGAGCAAACGGG
rnacentral:rRNA from 1 species